rnacentral:snRNA from 1 species
CCUACCUAUUUGUAUCUU